UGUUGCGAAACUCAUGCUCACGAGUAAAAAAUACUCACUCACCUUACUCAUUUGCGAGUAAUGCUCACGCUGUGAGUUACUCGCGUAUGAGUAUACUCACGCGUGAUUUAGUGAGUAAGUUAUUUUUGUUGGUUUGAAAUGAUGUUUUCGUUUGUUCUGUACUGCAAUGGUGAUUAUUUAUAUACAAGGCACAGUUUUCGAGGAAAGGUGGAUCUGCUCGAGAGCUUUGGCACCAUAGGCUAAAAACUCUUAUUGUUUACCUACGCAUGCAAAGUAAUAUCAUCAAUUAGGAAAUCUCUAUAUUUCACUACACUUUGUCAAUGGUAUAACUUUUUUCGCAUACGUCGGGUCACUUUACGGUAUUCAAUAAAGAUGUUUGGCGUAUAUUUACCUACCUUCAAAUUAAAAAUGGUAGGGUCAAUUACAUGUCCUAGGUCCAAACAAUCAAAACUUUUCUUUUCUGCAUUCAUUUUCAUACAUCUGCAUACGUUUUUUCCCAUGUGGCUAGUUUCUAUUACUGUGCAAAAAUAUAGGGCAUAUAAUGGACAAAUAUUGGUUUUGCUUUAAAACUACUUGAGUAGGCAAGUACACGGAGGAAAAGCAGGCUAGUUUGAAACAACAAACUUGUUUGUUGUUUUUUCAACUUAGUUAUUUGUUAUUUCAAAUCAAAAAUUUGUUGUUUCUAAAUGGAAAACGACGGUUGAAACAAACCAUUUCAUUUGUUGUUUUUAAUAUGAGACAGUAAUAUCGAUUCCGGUAAAAACAAACUGAGAGGUUUGUUGUUUGCUACGAAACUCGCGGUUUGUUUUUACUAAUGUUUGGGUUGACUGCUACUCUUGUUUGUUAUGAAAUACAAACCACAUUAUUAGUUUGUAAUAACAAACAUCGCCGGUAGAACCAAACUAAGAUGUUGUUUGUGGAAAAUUUAAUCGAAACUUCAGUUUGAAACAAACCAAAUUAGCGGUUUGUUUCAUUUGGGUCUUCUCACAAGCCUCGUCAUGAGCUCAACUCAAUUAUAUGGCCACCAUUUUGAAGAACCGUUUUGUGCCAUCCAGCCAGUAAGUUUGGCAAUUUGUUAAGUGUUGCAGCAUGUUAGAGAGCUCCAGGUAUGUUCAAAUGAGUUGAUGAGUGGUGUGCAAAGUAAUAGUUUCGGAUAAUCUACUUCCAGAAUAGAAUCAUGAGCCUUGCUGAAGAUUAACAUUGGCUGGAGCCACGUAAUUUCCCGAGAGCUGAAACACGAUGGAGGAAAUCGCAUCGCGCUGGUAUCAGGAAAAAUGCGAGAGUAAUCGGUAUUACAAUCAUAUUAUUAUUCUGGUUAUCAUUACUUAUCUCAAUCAGUGUAUUUGUAUAAAAUAAAUAAAUAUGUGAUCCUUACAAA